AUGGAGGAGGAGGACCAAUCGGCAGUGCUGGUCGCCGAAGGUGCCAUCAAGAGCAUAAAGCUUAGCCUAUCCACUGAGGAGGAGAUAUGUACCUACUCUAUAAAUGACUGUCCUGUUACUCAUCCUAGUCAGCUUGGGAACCCUUUCCUUGGCUUACCACUGGAAACAGGCAAAUGCGAGUCAUGUGGUGCCACGGAAAACGGCAAAUGCGAAGGGCAUUUCGGGUUCAUUGAGCUGCCUGUACCUGUAUAUCACCCGUGUCAUGUCAGUGAGCUUAGGCAACUACUGAGCAUGGUAUGUCUGAAGUGCCUUCGUAUCAAGAAAGGAAAGGUUAAACAGAAGAAUGGAAAGGAAAAUGUGUCGGUAACGGCAUGUCACUACUGUCGGGGUCUCCCGGCACUAUAUUUGAAGGAAAUCAAGACAGAAGAUGGUGCAUUUCGUUUAGAGUUGAGAGCACCCCCAAAGAAACAUAUGACAGAACGCUCUUGGGACUUCCUUGACAAAUAUGGGGGGUUUCACCAUGGUGGAGCCUCUCACUGUAGGACAUUGCUUCCAGUAGAGGCUUUUAAUAUAUUAAAGAAGAUUCCGGAUGACACGAAAAAAAAGCUAGCUGCACGGGGAUUCAUUGCUCAGCCUGGAUAUGUGAUGAAAUAUCUUCCAGUACCACCUAACUGCCUCUAUAUUCCAGAAUUCACAGAUGGGCAGAGCAUCAUGUCCUAUGACAUCUCUAUAUCUUUGUUGAAAAAGAUACUUCAAAAGAUAGAGCAAAUAAAAAAAUCAAGAUCUGGUUCCCCAAACUUUGAGUCACAUGAUUCUGAAUCAGCUGAUCUGCAACAUUCUAUUGGCCAAUAUAUACAGCUCAGGGGAACUACAAAGGGUCCUCAAGACGCAAAGAGAUUUGCAGUUAGCACAGAUUCAUCUCAUUUGUCAACAAAACAAUGGCUCGAAAAGAUGAGAACACUUUUUAUCAGCAAAGGAUCAGGAUUUUCAUCACGCAGUGUACUUACUGGAGACCCGUAUAUUGGAGCAGAUGUAGUUGGACUGCCUUCUGAAGUGGCAAAAAGAAUUACUUUUGAAGAACAGGUUACAGAUAUCAACAUAAAUAGAUUGCAAGAGGUUGUUGACAAGGGGUUGUGUUUGACUUAUAGAGAUGGUCAAACAACAUAUGCAAUCACUGUAGGAUCAAAAGGAUAUACCACUCUUAAAGUGGGUCAAACGAUCAGUAGAAGAAUUGUUGAUGGUGAUGUUGUGUUCCUUAACAGGCCACCUAGUACUCACAAGCAUUCUCUCCAGGCAUUUACUGUAUACAUCCACGAUGAUCAUACUGUCAAAAUCAACCCCCUUAUAUGCUCUCCUCUUGCAGCAGAUUUUGAUGGUGAUUGUGUGCAUAUUUAUUAUCCUCAGUCACUUGCUGCUAAAGCGGAAGCAUUGGAACUUUUCAGCGUGGAGAAGCAACUGACUAAUUCACACAACGGAAAAGUAAAUCUCCAGCUAGCGAAUGACAGCUUGCUUGCUCUGAAGCACAUGUCUUCUAGAACCAUGUUAAGCAAAGAAUCAGCAAACCAGCUGGCAAUGCUCCUGUCGCUUUCUCUUCCUCCCCCUGCUGUGGUCAAGUCUAAGCCAUGCUGGACAAUCGCACAAAUAAUGCAAAGUGCGUUGCCAGCAGAAUUGACAUGUGAAGGGGAUAGAUUCCUAGUUAGGGACAGCACUGUCAUAAGACUGGAUAUUGACAAAGAAUCCGUUCAGGCCUCGUUUUCGGACUUGGUGUCCUCCAUUCUUGCUGUCAAGGGACCAGGAGAUGCGCUCAAGUUUUUGAAUGCGCUGCAACCCCUUCUGAUGGAAUUCUUGCUUCUGGAUGGCUUUAGUGUAAGCCUGCAAGAUUUUAGUGUACCCAAGCCUUUGUUGGAAGAAGCACAGGAGUGUAUUAAAAAGCAGUCUCUUGUACUGGAGCAGUCAAGGUGCUCGAGUAGCCAGUCUGUGGAAACAAGAGUUGACAACAAUCUGAAGGACGUCAAACAACAAAUUGCAGAUUUUGUCGUGAAAUCCUCUCGUCUUGGUCUUCUCAUUGACCCAAAGAGUGACUCUUCAGUGUCAAAAGUUGUUCAACAGCUUGCUUUUGUUGGUCCGCAGCUCUACCGCGAGGGGAAGUUCUAUUCAAGGUGUCUGGUGGACGAUUGCUUCUCAAGUUUUGUCAAUAGACACCCACCGAUUGAAGAUGGAGUUCAACACCCACCAGAGGCGUAUGGUCUUGUGCGAAGUGCAUAUUUUCAUGGUCUCAAUCCUUAUGAGGAGCUAGUACAUUCUAUAUGUACAAGAGAAACUAUUGUCCGCUCCUCAAGAGGGUUGACAGAACCAGGAACUCUGUUCAAGAGUCUAAUGGCCAUCUUGCGAGACGUAGUUAUAUGCUAUGAUGGAACUGUGAGAAACAUCUGCAGCAAUUCAAUCAUGCAGCUGAAGUACAAAGAAGAAGAUGACACAGAUUUUCCAAGUGCUAUAGCUCCUGGAGAACCGGUGGGUGUCUUAGCUGCCACUGCUAUCUCCAACCCCGCUUAUAAGGCUGUCUUGGACUCUUCUCAGAGUAAUAAUACUUCAUGGGAGUUGAUGAAGGAAAUACUUAAGACAAAAGUUAGCUAUAAAAAUGAUGCGAAGGAUCGAAAAGUUAUCCUGUUCCUGAAUGACUGCUCUUGCCCCAAGAAAUUUUGCAAAGAGAAGGCUGCUAUUGCAGUGCAGGGUUGCCUAAAGAGAGUCACACUAGAGGAUUGUGCCACUGACAUCUGCAUCGAGUAUAAGAAACAAGUUAGUUUAGAUGCAAUUUCAGAAGCCACGCCAGCAUUUGUUGGCCAUAUUCAUCUUGAAAAGGCACAUUUAGAAAAGAUAAACGUUAGCACUGAUGAGAUUCUUCAGAAAUGCCAAGAAGUUUCUGGGAAACAUGCCAAUAAGAAAGGAACUCUUGGUCACCUGUUUAAAAAGAUUACUUUCUCUACUUGUGAUUGUUCAUUUGCGCAGAAGCCGGGUGAUGGGAAGGUUCCAUGUUUGCAGUUCUCUUUUUCUGAGGACAUCCCUAUGUUAUCUGAUUCCGUUGAGAAAGCAGUGAAUGUGUUAGCUGAUUCUCUCUGUGGUGUGCUUCUGGAGAUAAUCAUAAAAGGUGAUCCUCGAGUUCAAGAGGCUAAAAUUACGUGGGUUGGGUCUGAUGCAACGUCUUGGGUUAAACAUACAAAGAAGAUAUCAAAGGGUGAGCCUGCAGUAGAAAUUAUUGUUGAGAAAAAGGAAGCUAUGCAGAACGGUGAUGCAUGGAGAAUUGCCAUGGAUGCAUGUAUACCAGUCAUGAACCUCAUUGACACACAAAGGUCAAUACCUUAUGGUAUUCAGCAAGUGCGAGAACUUCUUGGCAUAUCAUGCUCCUUUGAUCAAGUUGUUCAGCGCCUUUCGAAAACCAUGAAGACGGUUGCUAAAGGAAUUCUGAAGGACCAUUUGGUUCUUGUGGCAAACAGCAUGACAUGCACUGGGAACUUGAAUGGGUUCCACAAUGGUGGUUACAGGGCGACCUUUCGUUCAUUAAAAGUUCAAGUACCUUUUACAGAGGCCACCUUGCUUACCCCUAUGAAAUGCUUCGAGAAGGCUGCCGAGAAAUGCCAUUCUGAUUCAUUGGGUUCUGUGGUCUCAUCCUGUUCGUGGGGCAAGCAUGCAGCACUUGGUACUGGGUCAUCUUUUCAGAUUCUUUGGAACGAAAAUCAGCUGAAAAGCAACAAGGAAUACGGUGAUGGCCUGUAUGAUUUCCUGGCCUUGGUGAGGACCGACCAAGAAAAGGCUGCUUACACAUUCUUGGAUGAUGUGGACUACCUUGUUGAAGACAACGCAAUGGAUGAUAUUUGCUUAUCACCGGAAAUGGAUGGGAUCCAUGGUAUGCCCACUUUUGAAGAUGAUCCUGAACAGCAAAAUACUGAGAAGGACAGCUCAUGGGAAAAUGGCACAACGGCGGGUGCAAGCUGGGAACAAAAUGCAAAUGCUGGGAAUGAUUCUGGUAACUGGGGAGGAGGCUCAACAGUGGAGAAUGAUUCCACUGAUUGGGCAGGCUGGGGCACUGGACCUGCAAAUGACAAAAAGAUUGUAUCCGGAGAACCAGCUGAACCCGACACUUGGGCUGACCAGGGUGCUAAAAAGGAUACGGAAGGAGGCUGGAAUAAUGCAGCUGCAGCUGGUGACACAGGAGCUGCAAAACCAGCAGAGCAAGACAAGUCAUGUUGGAAUGCGCCCCCAGCAGUGGAGAAUGAUUCCUCUGGUUGGGGAGGGUGGGGCACUGGAAACGCAAAGGACAAAAAUAUUGCAUCUGAAGGAUCAGCUGAAGUCGAUACUUGGGCCGAUCAGAGUGGUAAAAGGGAUACUGAUGGAGGUGGUGCUAGCUGGGACAAAAUGAAAGUGAAGGAUCACAAUAUGCAGCAAGACCAAUGGGGUCAUGUGCCAACCCAGAAUGUUGAUGCACAGGAUGAUCCAUGGGGGAGUGUAGCAGGUGUGGCUCAACCUUCUACCGCAAAGCAUAUUGAUGCACAGAAUGAUUCCUGGGGGAGCAUGGCAGCGAAAGCUCAAACUUAUGCAAGGGAUGAUUCCUGGGGAAGUGUGGCAGCUAAAACUUCCACUGCAGAGCCUAUGGACACAAAGAAUGAUUCCUGGGGAAGUGUGGCAGCUAAAGCUUCUAUCACAGAGCCUAUGGAUGCAGGGAAUGGUUCCUGGGGGAGUGUGGCAGCGAAGGCUCAGACUUCUACUGCACAGCAGGAGUCCUGGGGUAAUGUGUCUGCUUCACCAUCAGAUAAUGCGUGGGGUGCUGCUCCGGUUUCCCAGGGACCUGAUAACUCGGAUGCAAAGCAGCCAGAUUCUUGGGAUGGCUGGGGUUCUGCUGCUCCAGUUUCCCAGGGAGAUAGUUCAGAUGCAAAGCAGCCAGAUUCUUGGGAUGGCUGGGGUUCUGCUCAAGCCGAUGACUCGAGUACUGAUAAAUGGAAGACCAAUGCUUCUGGCAACAACAAAGGCUGGAAAGCAGAUGGAUGGGAGGCCAAAGAAAACCGGAGGGACCAAAGAGACAAUCCAGGCAGGCCCCAAAUGAGGCCUCCUGUUGAGAGGCCACCAAGACCACGGUACGAACUGCCAGCUGAGGCGAAAAAGGUUCUACAAGAAAUUGAACCCAUUGUAACAAUGGUCAGAAAGAUCUUCCGUGAAUCAAGUGAUGGCAUAAGGCUUCCCCUGGAGGAUGAAAAGUUUAUCAUAGAAAAAGUUCUGGAGCACCACCCUGAAAAGGAAAAGAAGGUGUCUGGUGAAAUUGAUCAUAUAAUGGUCAACAAGCACCACGUUUUCCAGGACAGCCGGUGCUUUUACGUGGUGUCAUCAGAUGGGACCCAAACAGACUUCUCAUACAUCAAGUGCAUGGACAACUACGUGAGGAAGAACCACGAGGAGCAUGCCGAGCUCAUCUGUGAGAUGCACUUCAAGAAGCGCAACCGCGAUCGACCACCAACGGUCGACGGAGGCGCGGCACCAGCCACUGAAGCCGGGGCGUCUCAGCCGGCUCCAGGCGAGGACUUGGAAGCCGCUCUGCCAGGCCCGCCGCCAGGAACUCCACCUCCGUCUGCGAUCACCCAGCAGGAGACUCCAGCUUCUCCGGCUGCGGCUCCAGAAGAUGAUCUGCCUCUGCCUCCUCCCCCUCCACUGACCCAGCAUGAGGAGGAUGGAACGCCAGAAGAUGAUCUGCCUCUGCCUCCUCCUCCUCCACUGCCCCAGCAGGAGGCUGGAGCGCCAGGUUCAGCGCCAGAGGCAGGAGCCGUCGAUGACAAGUGGGCAGGAGGUGGCGAUGACAAGUGGGCGGGAGGCCCGGAUGACAAGUGGGUCUAG
rnacentral:rRNA from 1 species